GAUGCUGUGGCUUAGCUGGUCAAAGUGCCUGUCUAGUAAACAAGAGUUCCUGGGUUUGUAUCCCAGCAGUGCCU
rfam:Danio rerio chromosome 4, GRCz11 reference primary assembly.